rnacentral:rRNA from 1 species
UACGGAGGGGCAAGCGUUGUUCGGAAUUACUGGGCGUAAAGGGCGCGCAGGCGGCUGCUCAAGUCAGGCGUGAAAGGCCUGGGCUCAACCCGGGAAUUGCGCUUGAGACUGGGCUGGCUUGAGUGCGGGAGAGGAUGGUGGAAUUCCCAGUGUAGAGGUGAAAUUCGUAGAUAUCAAGCGGAACACCGGUGGCGAAGGCGGCCUUCUGGACAGUGACUGACGCUGAGACGCGAAAGCGUGGGGAGCAAACAGG